GUCUCGGCAGCGGUGGCCGUAGCUCCAUCGCAUUUUAUGUUUCUGGCGAGAAGGGAACGGAGUUUUCAUCAGGUAGAUUGGUUUUUGUGCGGCCGUCCUCCACCGUUUCCUCCAGGACAGCACCUAGUCGUGGCCGGAGGAGUCUCAGAGCUGUCAGAAAGAAUAAGACUGAUUUUAUGGGAAAAUUAAGCAGAUGCUCCAGUUUGAGAAACCUGGAUCUGCGAUCUGUUUGUGGUACCAGCAUCAAGAUGAUUUAUGGUAAUAAGGUACUCAGUCUUUGCUUAAAAUAAAUUUUACGUUUAUCAAAGUAAAAUUUACCAGCUUUUUUUCCUAAAGAGGCUAGUCAUAUCUCAUCAGUGGUUACAAAGUAUCCUUACAAUUGAACCUACAUUUGUUAAUCCUGUUCAGUGUGUAUGAAAAUCACUUGGUGGCCGGGCAUGGUGGCUCACGCCUGUAAUCCCAGCACUUUGGGAGGCCAAGGCGGGCAGAUCACAAGGUCAGGAGUUCGAGACCAGCCUGGCUAAUAUAGUGAAACCCCAUUUCUACUAAAAAUGCAAACAUUAGUCAGGCAUGGUGGCAGGUGCCUGUAGUCCCAGCUACUUGG
rnacentral:lncRNA from 1 species